UACGUAGGAUGCAAGCGUUGUCCGGAAUUAUUGGGCGUAAAGAGCGCGCAGGCGGUAACUCAAGUCAGAUGUGAAAUAUCCGGGCUUAACCCGGAGGGGUCAUUUGAAACUGAGUAACUAGAGUACAGCAGAGGAUAGCGGAAUUCCCGGUGUAGUGGUGAAAUGCGUAGAUAUCGUAAGGAAGACCAGUGGCGAAGGCGGGUCUCUGGACAGUUCCUGACGCUGAGGCACGAAGGUCAGGGGAGCAAACGGG
rnacentral:rRNA from 1 species